UACGUAGGGGGCGAGCGUUGUCCGGAUUUAUUGGGCGUAAAGCGCGGGCAGGCGGCUUCGUAAGUCGGCCGUGAAAGCGCCGGGCUCAACCCGGCGAGGACGGGCGAGACUGGGAAGCUGGAGAGAGGCAGAGGGCGGUGGAAUUCCGGGUGUAGUGGUGGAAUGCGUAGAGCUCCGGAGGAACACCAGUGGCGAAGGCGGCCGCCUGGGCCUUUUCUGACGCUGAGCCGCGAAAGCGUGGGGAGCGAGCCGG
rnacentral:rRNA from 1 species